rfam:Pan troglodytes isolate Yerkes chimp pedigree #C0471 (Clint) chromosome 1, whole genome shotgun sequence.
GGCUGAUCUGAAGGUAGUCAGUUAUCUCAGUUGAUCAGUUCUAUUCUUUCCCCUUUUCUCACUACUGCACUUGACUAGUCUUAA